rnacentral:rRNA from 1 species
CGGGUGCACUGAUCCAGCCGGGCCUUUCCCUCUGUGGAACCCCAUGGCCUUCACUGGCUGUGGUGGGGAAACAGGACUUUUACUUUGAAAAAAUUAGAGUGCUCCAGGCAGGCCUAUGCUCGAAUACAUUAGCAUGGAAUAAUAGAAUAGGACGUGUGGUUCUAUUUUGUUGGUUUCUAGGACCGCCGUAAUGAUUAAUAGGGACAGUCGGGGGCAUCAGUAUUCAAUUGUCAGAGGUGAAAUUCUUGGAUCUAUUGAAGACUAACUACUGCGAAGGCAUUUGCCAAGGAUGUUUUCAUUGAUAAGGAACGAAAGUUAGGGGAUCGAAGACGAUCAGAUACCGUCGUAGUCUUAACUAUAAACUAUGCCGACUAGGGAUCGGACGAUGUUAUUCUUUGACGCGUUCGGCACCUUUCGAGAAAUCAAAGUGCUUGGGCUCCAGGGGGAGUAUGGUCGCAAGGCUGAAACUUAAAGAAAUUGACGGAAGGGCACCACCAGGGGUGGAACCUGCGGCUUAAUUUGACUCAACACGGGGAAACUCACCAGGUCCAGACACAGUGAGGAUUGACAGAUUGAGAGCUCUUUCUUGAUUCUGUGGGUGGUGGUGCAUGGCCGUUCUUAGUUGGUGGAGUGAUUUGUCUGCUUAAUUGCGAUAACGAACGAGACCUUAACCUGCUAAAUAGCCCGUACUGCUUUGGCAGUUCGCCGGCUUCUUAGAGGGACUAUCGG